rnacentral:misc_RNA from 1 species
AACGGUCUAUACCUGCGGUACCUGCGGAGGGAUCAUUAUUGAGAACGUGCCCUCUGGGUACAUCUCCCACCCUGUGUCUACCUUACCUUUGUUGCUUUGGCGGGCCCGUCUCGCGACCACCGGCUCCGGCUGGUCCGCGCCCGCCAGAGGACCACAAACUCUGAUUAUUUUGCUGUCUGAGUAACCAUUUAAUACGUUAAAACUUUCAACAAUGGAUCUCU